GAAACAAACAAACAAACAAGCCAAAGAUACACUCAACAUCAUGAUUGAGACAUGAUGAUCAUUUCACAUUCGUUCCAAAUCAUAACUAAAUGUGCCUAUCAAGGCUGCUUCUACUCCCAACAGUCAUUAAACAAACCUACAAAAGAAAUUUCAAAUUAAGAGCUAAUUUUACGCCUUUUUUCCCCAAUAUAAGCUAAAUAAACACAAAUUGAUAGAGAAA
rnacentral:misc_RNA from 1 species